rnacentral:rRNA from 1 species
AGAGUUUGAUCAUGGCUCAGAUUGAACGCUGGCGGAAUGCUUUACACAUGCAAGUCGAGCGGCAGCGCGGGGGCAACCCUGGCGGCGAGCGGCGAACGGGUGAGUAAUACAUCGGAACGUACCCUGUCGUGGGGGAUAACUAACCGAAAGGUUAGCUAAUACCACAUACGACCUGAGGGUGAAAGCGGGGGAUCGCAAGACCUCGCGCGAUAGGAGCGGCCGAUGUCAGAUUAGCUAGUUGGUGAGGUAAAGGCUCACCAAGGCGACGAUCUGUAGCGGGUCUGAGAGGACGGCCCGCCACACUGGAACUGAGACACGGUCCAGACUCCUACGGGAGGCAGCAGGGGGGAAUUUUGGACAAUGGGNGCAAGCCUGAUCCAGCCAUUCCGCGUGAGUGAAGAAGGCCUUCGGGUUGUAAAGCUCUUUCGGCAGGAACGAAACGGUCUCUCCUAAUACGGGAGGGUAAUGACGGUUCCUGAAG